rnacentral:pre_miRNA from 1 species
UGGACAUAUUAUUGUAUUCGACUGUAUUCACGGCGUGAAACAGGGGAUUACACUGUUUUUAAACGGAAAGUGAAUUAAUUAACAUAAUAGACUCCU